rnacentral:lncRNA from 1 species
AAUGAGGCACCUUAAUUUUUGCUCAUAAUAACUUUUUUAGGUACCCCACGGUUUACUUGAAGUACUAAAACAACAUUUAGCUUCUUUGGAAGAGAAAAAUGACACUUUACCUCCUUACUGUGUGCCUCAUAUUUAUUGUGAUCUUUUAACUCUCCAACCUGCAUUGACUCCAUCCUUCCCAAAUAGUCCAGUUGUGACAGCUUCAGCAAGCAGAGCUUGGUUUGCAGAUUAUUUUGACUACAUGAUACAUUACAACCAUCAUUAUCUUCGCAAGCCCACGAACCUGUUGGAACCAGACAGCAAGGUGGAACGAUUAUAGCAAACAACCUAAAUGGCUCACCUGCUAGCCUUGUAGGAAAUUUUAACUUUGAAGAAAUCCCAGUCAACAGGUAAGUUUUUAUUAUUUAAGAAAAGACAGAGAGGGAUGGCUGGGCAGGAAAGAAAAAAAAAAAGGACAACCA